rnacentral:lncRNA from 1 species
AGUCUGACUGAAGAUGUUAAAUUUAGUACUUAUUGAGAGACAACCUAGCUCAUACUUUUUUUAAUUCAUAUCUUUUCAUUUUGUUUAGAUUAAUCGAGUCUUAUUUAGUAUCUUUUGUAGGGAUUCUACUCCAUUGGAGACAAUGUCAGCUAAGUUAGGGGGGAGGGAGGAAGCUAAAUAAAGAAAAUGAAGACAUUUCAUCCUCAAGUGCACUCUCUCCUUUUCUUUGAUUUGAUUCUUUUAUUUUUCUUACUCCAUUGAAGAUAAUGUCGAUUAAGCUGGGGG